rnacentral:ribozyme from 1 species
AAUGAAUGGAUGGAUUCUUCUCGAAAAAAGAAUGUAAUAUGUGGGGACUGUCGUAGGGGGGUAUGGUUGUUGUUCUACAUGUCAUGGACUGUUUUGUCUUUUUUUUUUCCUCGUAUCUAUUUCUACA